rnacentral:rRNA from 1 species
CACGUAGGCGGCAUAGCAAGUUAAGGGUGAAAUCCCGGGGCUCAACUCCGGAACUGCUCUUAAAACUGCUGAGCUAGAGAUAGUCAGAGGCGGGUGGAAUUCCUGGUGUAGAGGUGAAAUUCGUAGAUAUCAGGAGGAACACCGGUGGCGAAGGCGGCCCGCUGGGACUAUUCUGACGCUAAGGUGCGAAAGCGUGGGGAGCAAACAGGAUUAGAUACCCUGGUAGUCC